GACGAACGCUGGCGGCGUGCUCAACACAUGCAAGUCGAACGGUGACGAGGAGCUUGCUCCUCUGAUCAGUGGCGAACGGGUGAGUAACACGUGAGCAACCUACCCUUGACUCCGGGAUAACAGCUGGAAACAGCUGCUAAUACCGGAUACGACCUCCGCAGGCCACUGCAGACGUCGCAAGCCCCGACGGUCAAGGAUGGGCUCGCGGCCUAUCAGCUUGUUGGUGAGGUAACGGCUCACCAAGGCGACGACGGGUAGCCGGCCUGAGAGGGCGACCGGCCACACUGGGACUGAGAUACGGCCCAGACUCCUACGGGAGGCAGCAGUGGGGAAUAUAGCACAAUGGGCGAAAGCCUGAUGCAGCAACGCCGCGUGCGGGAUGACGGCCUUCGGGUUGUAAGCCGCUUUCAGCAGGGACGAAGUGAAAAUGACGGUACCUGCAGAAGAAGCACCGGCUAACUACGUGCCAGCAGCCGCAGUAACAC
rnacentral:rRNA from 1 species